rnacentral:rRNA from 1 species
CAGCAGCCGCGGUAAAACGAAGGGGGCUAGCGUUGUUCGGAAUUACUGGGCGUAAAGCGCACGUAGGCGGAUCGAUCAGUCAGGGGUGAAAUCCCAGGGCUCAACCCUGGAACUGCCUUUGAUACUGUCGAUCUGGAGUAUGGAAGAGGUGAGUGGAAUUCCGAGUGUAGAGGUGAAAUUCGUAGAUAUUCGGAGGAACACCAGUGGCGAAGGCGGCUCACUGGUCCAUUACUGACGCUGAGGUGCGAAAGCGUGGGGAGCAAACAGGAUUAGAUACCCCCGUAGUCCCUGUCUCUUAUAC